UUGGGAUUAUAGCCACGAACUCAAUAGAAUUCUUAAGAUCAUGUGAAAACGUUGACAAGAUCGUCUACGAUUUUCCAAGAUUCUAAGUCUUCUAUUGAUGUUCAUGGCUUUAACCUGA